rnacentral:lncRNA from 1 species
GUUUUACUGUCUUGUUUAUUCUAAGUACAAAUGCAGAAAUUGCCUAAACCUCUGGACACUUUUCUUUUACAAGAGGACAUUAGUAUGAUGAGGUUCCACAGAAGAUUUUCCAAUUUCUUUGUGGAGAAGGGUUAGGUGAAUUCUAUUUGGUAUCUUCUCACAAAUUAAGCCAUGUCCAGAACCAGUACCACUUUUAAUUAUGUGCUUGGUAGUACUCUACUAAAUACUUGAAGAUGUUUUGCAACAUUCUCGGAGACCUUUGUCACACAAACACUGUCAUAUGGGAGGAAACGACAGACAAUUGGCAAGCCUUGUAGAGGGGAUGUAGGAGACAGCUUGGCUGCAUUCUCCAAGGACUCCAGAGUGUACUAAGCUAGGAAAGAAUUGUGUGCUUGCCCUUCAGGACUUGUGAAGUUUAAAAGUAGAACAAGGACAAUAUUUCUAACAUAUCAUCAGUUUCAUCUCUAAAUUAACCUGU